ACACGACUACAUUAGAUACCCGCGUAGUCCUAGCCGUAAACGAUACCCGCUAGGUGUCGGCCACGGUGCGACCGUUGUCGGUGCCGUAGGGAAGCCGUGAAGCGAGCCACCUGGGAAGUACGGCCGCAAGGCUGAAACUUAAAGGAAUUGGCGGGGAGCACCACAACGGGUGGAGCUUGCGGUUUAAUUGGAUUCAACGCCGGAAAUCUUACCGGGACCGACAGCAACAUGAAGGCCAGGCUGAAGACUUUGCCGGAUUAGCUG
rnacentral:rRNA from 1 species